rnacentral:rRNA from 1 species
GAUGAACGCUAGCGGCAGGCCUAAUACAUGCAAGUCGAACGGUGUCUUCGGACAUAGUGGCGCACGGGUGCGUAACACGUAUGCAACCUACCUUACAUUGGGGGAUAGCCCCUCGAAAGGGAGAUUAAUACCGCAUAAGACAGUAGCUGGGCAUCCAGCAGCUGUUAAAGAUUUAUCGAUGUAAGCUGGGCAUGCGUCCAAUUAGCUAGUUGGUGAGGUAACGGCUCACCAAGGCAAUGAUUGGUAGGGGAACUGAGAGGUCAAUCCCCAACACUGGCACUGAGAUACGGGCCAGACUCCUACGGGAGGCAGCAGUAGGGAAUAUUGGGCAAUGGACGCAAGUCUGACCCAGCCAUGCCGCGUGCAGGAUGAAGGCGUUAUGCGUUGUAAACUGCUUUUAUACAGGAAGAAACGACUCUUGCGAGAGGCAUUGACGGUACUGUAUGAAUAAGCACCGGCUAACUCCGUGCCAGCCGCCGCCGUAACAC